AACACACGGUAUGCUCCAUGGAUGUGAUGGGCGGUCUCGCGGAGGAGCCCGACACGGCGGCCCUCGCGCGGAAAUGUCGUUGGACUCGGGGUGGCGCCGAUUGGCGGUUGACCCCGAGCUCAGAUCCGCCCCUUCCUCCCAUCCGUCCAGGUUCGCUCAGAUCCGCCCCUCCCUCUCAUCCGUCCAGAACCCGCCGAAACUGGAGAUGGUGAGGUGGAGCUCGCAGGAUCCGUCGCCGGCAUUGCCUAGGUAGGACGUUCCCAUCCGCCUCUUUCCUGCCCAGAUCAACCCUCUCCUCCUCACCUUUUUCUCCUAUCUGCCCCUUUCCUGCAAGUUAACAUGGUGUUGAGAUGGAGAUGACGGCACGAGGUUGUCGGCCUAGCCUGCUCGAGGAGGAGGAUGGGCACACCUUGCUGUCGGCCCUCCUCUUCUCUAGGAGGAGAGGCAGGAGGGGUCUGCUCCUACGGCGACCAAGAGAUCCUGCCCGAGCUCAAGCACGACCACGACGACCCAUUGCGGCAGGUACCAUCUCCCUCCCCCUCUUGUCCUGCCCACUAAUGAUGCUAAUUUACUGAAUAUUUGAUGAAAAUCAAUAGGUAUUUGUUAUCCAGACCUAUCCCAUCUAAUAUCAAUGUUGCAAAAAGAAAGCACUGAAGUACCAUCUCACGAUGUUUUCACAGCAUGGGAUAAUAGUUUGUACAUCUCAGUGUAUAAUUGUUAUUUUUAAGAGUUUGGAGUAUUGUUUGUCAUGCUUCUGUAAUACUUUGUCUUGCAUCGACACCUACAGAUAUUUAUGUAGGCUUCAUUGUGGAUCUAUGCUUGAUUACUAAUAAACAUCAACCUUUUCACAUUUAAAAACACGGGAAAAGUUUCUGCAGAUGUGAAACUGCAUAUAUGAGUUGAUCUCCCACUUUACAGUAGAUAGAAGCCAUGUUAAUUCUAAGAAUUAUUAGAACCUGGGUGCGAAGCUCUUAAUUUUAGUUACUAGUCCCCAACCCACGCGUUCGCACGGCCUAGUUAUUUGAUGUUACAUUAUAAUCUAUAUACCAUAAAGCGAUGGUUUUGUACAUUUACAUUGGGACAUGCCAUCUGAUAUUUUUCUUUCUAAUAUGUCAUAACGGAUUUUUCUUUUUGAUAUUUUUCUGCCUAAUAUAUAUUUCUUAGUUUCUUAGGUGUACUCUCAACUCUCUGUUUGGUCCCGUCUGGUCCUAGGCUACGUCAGUUUUGUGAUGGAAACCAUAAAAUUAAGAACUUCUGCUCGUCGAGAUUUCGGUUUUUUGAUGCUUUUGUGUGUGUUUUCUGUUGGCAAAAUCAGAAACUGACGUUGUAACCAUGAUUUGGCAGAUGUACAUGCAGAUGCGGAAUAGCACCACCCUAGUAUGGUUGUAACUCCAGCGACUCAGCGGGAUAUACGAUGCUGUUUCACUCCCGCAUCAUGUGAUUGGCAGCUCACAGGAGCCAUCUAACUUCUUGUAAGAUGAUGAAGGUAUUCCAGUACUCCCGGUUCCUCUUUUUUUCGCGUCUUGGUGGAAGCCAUUCGGUACCAUAGAAGACGCUGAAGCUGUCGCUGUGCUUGUUCUUUUUUUUCCGGUUGUUCCUACAGUUGACCUUAUGUGCGUGUUUCUGUACGGGUAGUCGGGUUACUUGUGAGUCUGUGAUGGGUUUCUCUUGUCAAAGCCGCCGUUUAAUUACAUUGUUGUGCAGAUAGUGUAUUCGCAAAUCACUCACGCUUCUGUAUUAUCCAAUUAUUUAUGUAAAUGAAUUUUUGUGCAUGACUAUGACACUCAAACCCAUAUUUGGCUACCACUGUAUAGUUUCUGUCUGAUUAAUCACAUAUCAAUCAGCUUUGAUGGUAUUCAUUAUGUGCCCAUUGUUGAGAUGUAUGUAAUCUUGAUGUGAAUUCAGGUCCAGUCUGUUACAUGUUUUAGAAAUACAGUAGAAAACAUGAAAGAAAUGGGGGAAAAAAGAAUCCGGGUGUCGGGUUGCUUUCUCAUAAUCCAACGAACAUCCUGUUAUGCAAUCUUUGUUUUUUCCUUGCUAUGUAGUAUAUGAGAGGGAAAGUAGUGGCUGUAGAAAAACUGUACUGUUGAUAUGAGAUAUUAUUGGCGCAUGAUACAAUCAAAUUCUUUUUUAUUAAUCAGCAAUGUACAUAAAUAUAACGAUGUUUUAAUGGCAAUUAUUUUUCUCUUCAUAUUAGGAUAAAAAUAUGCAAACACGUAAUAGCAAUCUACAGCUCUAGAGAGUCAUGUUAAUCCUUUUUAUAGAGGAGUAAGUGGGCAUGUACAGGAGUCGAGGGGGAUUUUCUUUCCUAAUUUCUUAUUUUGAGGAAGAGAUGCCGCUCCUUUCAUACGUGUUUGUUUUCCCUUCCAAUUGACAUCAAAUGAAUCUGUUUUUUUUUUCUUUUUAUUAUCGGUGCAGGUUUUAUGUAAGGAAGCUACCUUUUUUAUAUAGCUAGCGAACCCAUGGAUGAUUUCCUUCUUCACUUUCACAAACUGUAUGUGUGGGUCUUUUUUUUGGCCGGGCCAUCUAUAUCGAAGAAGUUUCAGCCGGGAGGAGUCCUGGGAGAGACAUUUUCCCUUUAUUUUGCUUCUUCAUUUUUAUUUUUAAUCGGGAAAAGAAAGAUUUUACUGAUGGACUUUCAUGGGUAAUAAAAUCGAAACUUCUGUUCCAGUAGUUGAGUAUUGUAUUGGUAUGUAUUCAUGUUGAUGGCUUUACUAAGAAUCGAAAAUAAAUUUUGGGAUAUUGAAACAUACAACCCAGCCAACCUGCCUCUUCUACUGUCUUUGGAUUUUAGUUCGGCAACCUACUUGUAUGCUUAAUUAAUCGCAUGUUGCUAUUUACUGGAGAAAUGUGAGAAUUUACUAUUAUUUCGAGUUUAAUUCUUAUUAUAUGAAUAUGAGCCACUUGUCACGGCAGCACUACUUGAAGUACAUGCCUUGCAAUAACUAGCAUGGUAGCCCAAUGGCGCUCUUUUUGUAGGAGAUUCUGUUUUACAAUAUCUUCUCGUCUAAUAUAAUUUUAUGCUUAUGGAAAUGUAAAGCAUGUUUUGGGUGUUUUAUACUUGUAGAGAAGAGGUAAUAUGGAAUUUUGUUUUCUCAAGAUACGAGUGAAAUCAUGGGCUUGACAACUACCGAUAACUAUUUAAUUCUAGUUCAUAGUUUAUGUUCAUGCUUAGUGGAGUAAUUACGCGAGUUACUAAGUGGCUGAUUUAAGUUGGAUUGGUUUUCUGCGUUCUUUACUUGCCGUGGAUAUUCUUGGUUUCUGGCAUAAGCAUGCUGAUAUGUAUGAUAUGUCCAUUCCUUUUGUUUGUCUCUUCUUUUGUUUUUUGAGCUUAAGAUUUGUCAUCUAACUUGUUCUCUGUUUGUUUUUUAAAUGUGCAUAGAUUUUCUAGUCAAAAGCAGAAUGUUGCUUUGCUUCAUGACAGGUACUAGAGUUCAUGCUCGAGAAGAAGAGGCAAGCCUGAGUUGAUGCGAGAGGAGCUUGUGGAGGCCAAGAAGAAAUCCGCAGAGUAUCAAUUGUUAUUUAAAAGAGUUUGUGCCAUGUUAUGUUACUGGUUCUAUAAUUAUAAUAAGUUACUUGUGGACAAUGUGGACAAGGGCCAUUUUAUGAACAUGGUGUAAUGGUACAAAGUGACUAGUUUUUUCUGGUUGGCACAUCUUAUGAACCUAUUGUUUAAUGAUACUUCUGGGCCUAAUAUUAUCCUGGUUACCUGUCAAAUUGUGUUAUGAUUUUGGGCCUCAAAAUAAAUCUGCAAAUGGACAGAAUUAUUGGGCUUGGCUUAUAGUUUUGGCCCAAACGAAAAUCUGAAAACAGGCUAAAUUACUGGGCUUAGCCCAUCAAAACAACUGAAGUGGACUGAUCUUGCAUGGCAUCCAUGUCAUAAUU
rnacentral:lncRNA from 1 species